UACGAAGGGGGCUAGCGUUGUUCGGAAUUACUGGGCGUAAAGCGCGCGCAGGUGGUCUUUCAAGUCAGUGGUGAAAGCCCGGAGCUCAGCUCCGGAAAUGCCAUUGAAACUGUGAGACUUGAGGAUGAGAGAGGUGAGUGGAAUUCCCAGUGUAGAGGUGAAAUUCGUAGAUAUUGGGAAGAACACCGGUGGCGAAGGCGGCUCACUGGCUCAUAUCUGACGCUCAGGCGCGACAGCGUGGGGAUCAAACAGG
rnacentral:rRNA from 1 species